rnacentral:rRNA from 1 species
ACUCAGGUGUUGUUGGGUAGGGGAGCGUUCUGUAAGCCUGCGAAGGUGGCCUGUGAGGGUUGCUGGAGGUAUCAGAAGUGCGAAUGCUGACAUAAGUAACGAUAAAGCGGGUGAAAAGCCCGCUCGCCGGAAGACCAAGGGUUCCUGUCCAACGUUAAUCGGGGCAGGGUGAGUCGACCCCUAAGGCGAGGCCGAAAGGCGUAGUCGAUGGGAAACGGGUUAAUAUUCCCGUACUUGGUGUUACUGCGAAGGGGGGACGGAGAAGGCUAUGUUGGCCGGGCGACGGUUGUCCCGGUUUAAGCGUGUAGGUGUGUGUUCCAGGUAAAUCCGGUUCACUUUAACACUGAGGCGUGAUGACGAGGCACUACGGUGCUGAAGCAACAAAUGCCCUGCUUCCAGGAAAAGCCUCUAAGCAUCAGGUAACAUCAAAUCGUACCCCAAACCGACACAGGUGGUCAGGUAGAGAAUACCAAGGCGCUUGAGAGAACUCGGGUGAAGGAACUAGGCAAAAUGGUGCCGUAACUUCGGGAGAAGGCACGCUGACACGUAGGUGAAGUGAUUUACUCAUGGAGCUGAAGUCAGUCGAAGAUACCAGCUGGCUGCAACUGUUUAUUAAAAACACAGCACUGUGCAAACACGAAAGUGGACGUAUACGGUGUGACGCCUGCCCGGUGCCGGAAGGUUAAUUGAUGGGGUCAGCGCAAGCGAAGCUCCUGAUCGAAGCCCCGGUAAACGGCGGCCGUAACUAUAACGGUCCUAAGGUAGCGAAAUUCCUUGUCGGGUAAGUUCCGACCUGCACGAAUGGCGUAAUGAUGGCCAGGCUGUCUCCACCCGAGACUCAGUGAAAUUGAACUCGCUGUGAAGAUGCAGUGUACCCGCGGCAAGACGGAAAGACCCCGUGAACCUUUACUAUAGCUUGACACUGAACAUUGAGCCUUGAUGUGUAGGAUAGGUGGGAGGCUUUGAAGUGUGGACGCCAGUCUGCAUGGAGCCGACCUUGAAAUACCACCCUUUAAUGUUUGAUGUUCUAACGUGGACCCGUGAUCCGGGUUGCGGACAGUGUCUGGUGGGUAGUUUGACUGGGGCGGUCUCCUCCUAAAGAGUAACGGAGGAGCACGAAGGUUGGCUAAUCCUGGUCGGACAUCAGGAGGUUAGUGCAAUGGCAUAAGCCAGCUUGACUGCGAGCGUGACGGCGCGAGCAGGUGCGAAAGCAGGUCAUAGUGAUCCGGUGGUUCUGAAUGGAAGGGCCAUCGCUCAACGGAUAAAAGGUACUCCGGGGAUAACAGGCUGAUACCGCCCAAGAGUUCAUAUCGACGGCGGUGUUUGGCACCUCGAUGUCGGCUCAUCACAUCCUGGGGCUGAAGUAGGUCCCAAGGGUAUGGCUGUUCGCCAUUUAAAGUGGUACGCGAGCUGGGUUUAGAACGUCGUGAGACAGUUCGGUCCCUAUCUGCCGUGGGCGCUGGAGAACUGAGGGGGGCUGCUCCUAGUACGAGAGGACCGGAGUGGACGCAUCACUGGUGUUCGGGUUGUCAUGCCAAUGGCACUGCCCGGUAGCUAAAUGCGGAAGAGAUAAGUGCUGAAAGCAUCUAAGCACGAAACUUGCCCCGAGAUGAGUUCUCCCUGAGACUUUAAGUCUCCUGAAGGAACGUUGAAGACGACGACGUUGAUAGGCCGGGUGUGUAAGCGCAGCGAUGCGUUGAGCUAACCGGUACUAAUGAACCGUGAGGCUUAACCUUACAACGCCG